UUCAGUGAAUGAAUGCUGUCGGAAAAAAAGGCGCACUUCGUCCACAACGAAUGCUGCCAUUUGUGUUUGUGUGCAUCCUGUGUGCCGUAGUUCUGUUUACUGUAGGUCAUGUCCAGAAAAGCAAAUGUUUCACACAGUCUAAAGUUCAGACUGAAAAAGGCACAGGGAAGACGAGAGUUCUUCUGUUUACAGUUGAAAAUCUACGAGGACCUCGUGCAGCAGCAACGAAGAAUUUGCAGAAAAGGAAAACCUUGUGAAACAUGGCAAGUGUUGAAACCAAGAAGUGAACAGGCUUCAAUCAAAGCUUCAAGGGAUGCCAUGUAAUGCUGUUGUUUCUGCUAGCAAUGGAAACACUGGCUUUACAAGCCUUGAGGGGGAGGGGGGAGAGAGAGAGCCGCCAGCCGAACACACCUGUGAGGCCGAAACCGCGCGCCAGACGGGCGAACCGGCCCCGUGCCACUGAGCGCGCUCCCCGCAGCCUUCUUAUCGCCGCCGCAACGCACGUCCCGUUCGAGGAGCCCGCGCCCGCAGAGACGGCGUCCCUUCAAUCAGGAGGUGCGGCAGGCUCGCUCUAAUCCCCGCUCUAUGGGGCGAGCUGGCUGCGGACCCCCCCCAAGACGAUUUGGGGUUGGAUCUCCACCCGGGGACCGGGCAGCCGAGCAAAGAAUCAGACAAGAUGCAGACAGCGCCACUUUUCACCGCCCCCCACCCCCCACCCCUCAGCCUCAUCAGAGACUCAGAGGGGAAGACAAAAACGGCGAGCCAUUAAAGCCUCCUUUCUCAUUUGGACUGUACAACUUCAAAGGGAUCAGUUCCUGUCCAUUCAGCAGCCAAACAAUGCAGAACAAAUUGUAUCAGUACCCGGAGAAACAGUGGGGAAGAGAAAGCCCUGCUGUACACGUUGGGUGUAAUGGGACUGAAGCAGAUCAGACGGCUGGAGAGGCGUGUCUCGCCAGCGGGGUUAAAGGUCAGGCUACGGUUCCAGAAUACUGCAGUUCGACAGACAAUACACAAUGGAUGUGCAUUUAGGACAAUGGUUCAGAAGGGCUGUUCAGAGAUCAAUUUUUGUUUGUUCAAGUUGACGAACACAGGCUUGGGAAUGUGGCGAUAUUUGAAAUGAAUGGAAAUUAAUCUCGCUUAAGGUUUUCUCAAGCC